rnacentral:misc_RNA from 1 species
AAGAUUAGGAUAUAAAAUUUCUGGCUAUUAUCCAAUCCUCGAUUUGUCUUGUUUUAUAUAGUACUACCAAUGCCCAGUUACAUUAAUCUCCAAAUCUUCCCAGUCUGUGACCAAAUUCUAAAAUUCUUGCACUACCCAUCUGGAAAAUGGCCACCAUUACAACCACCAAGUUGCCAACACUCUUGGCCCCUGCAAGCUUCAAGAAAACAACCAGGAUUCACUCCACUCCUAUUCUUGGGUUGCCGGUAAUGGCAAGGACAGGGUGCAAGGUCAAGUGCAGCCUAGAGGAGAAGAAAGAGGCAAGAUCCAAGGGCAUAAGCACAAGCAUGGUUUUAUCGAUGAUGGCAGCAGCAUCAGCAAUGGCAACAAGCACAGCAGGGCCAGCAACGGCAUUGGUGGAUGAGAGAAUGAGCACAGAAGGGACUGGACUUCCCUUUGGUUUAAGCAACAACCUUCUAGUGUGGAUACUUCUUGGUGUGUUUGGUUUGAUUUGGGCUUUCUACAGUGUCUACACUUCAACUCUUGAAGAAGAUGAUGAUUCUGCUUUGUCCCUCUAAGAAAGCAAGGGCUUCUCUUCCACUGUAACAAAUGUAUGAAAUAGCUUGGAAAUUGAAGGGGGGAACAUGGGUGUCUCUCUGUAUCAAUGCUUUAACGUUUUCCUUAAUCGCACAAUAAUAAUUAUUGUUAUUAUUAUUUCCUUUAAUUAAACGCU